CAAGAGCGUAUAUUAAAGUUGUUGCAGUUAAAAGCUCGUAGUUGGAUUUCUGGUACAAUGCGCCUGGCCCGCGGCGGUUACGUCUGUGAGUGCCGGUGCGCGUUUGCCAUCCUUCUAGAGAACGUUUCUACCCUUCACUGGGCCGGACUCGCGAUCUAGAUCUUUUACUUUGAAAAAUUAGAGUGUUUAAAGCAGGCUUUUGCUGUGAAUACAUUAGCAUGGAAUAAUAAUCUAGGACUUCGGUUCUAUUUUGUUGGUUUCUAGUACUGAAGUAAUGAUUGAUAGGGAUAGGUUGGGGGUGGCUAGUAAUUGGCCGGCCAGAGGUGAAAUUCUUGGUAUUCGGUCAAGACUAACUUAUGCGAAAGCAUUUGCCAAGGAUGUUUCAUUAAUCAAGAACGAAAGUUAGGGGAUCAAAGACGAUUAGAUACCAU
rnacentral:rRNA from 1 species